CGUCCUUUCUUGGGGGGGGUGGGGGGUGGGGGGAGUGUUCUUGGGUGAGAUGAAAGAUGGGGCUUCGACCUUGCGAUUUCCUUCUCCGAGCCGCACUUUUCUUAGAAGACUUUUUCCUUCUCCAGCCUUUGAAACAUGUCGCAAGGGAAAAAAGGCAAUCUUUGAAACUGUGUUGAUGUUUUCCUCUCGAAAAGUCUUUCCCCGGAGAACUUAACGGUAAUUUUGCAAUCUCCACCUUUUCUUGGGAGCGCUCUUGACUUCGAGGCGGAGGGGAAAGGGCUGUUAUUUGCCUUUCCCUUUAGUGAUUUUUUUUCCCUCCUCGUAGUUUCUACCAAUUUUUGCUCGACUGCACUUGAAUGAUUUGAGCCAGUGACGGCUUUAACUUUAAUACUUUAUAGGUAGAUAAUGGCCUUUGUAAAAUUCCUCAUUAAAAAUGUACUGGAUCUUAAAUCCUUUUCUGCGCUGAAGGCACCCUAGAUUAACCCUUUCCUGGUGUGAUGUAUUGCGUUUGGGGCGCGCGACUCUGGGUUGCGAAUAUACUGGAGUUGAUUUUUGCAGCAGCUAUUCAAUUGUUCGAAAAAGAGGAAUAACGCUUUCAGUCACACACUUCUUAGGACUGCCUGCCUAAAGUUUACCUACCCCCGCCACCCCGCCCCUGGAAUUGAUGUAACGAUUGAUUGAGUUCUUAUUUCUGUAAAGAUUGGGGGACCCGCCCUCACUUAGAAUCUUUCCCCGAAGAGAAUAGGAGAGCGCAAUGUGAUGUUUUUCAAAUGGUGUCUAACGGAGCUCCCAAAAUACCGAACUUGUUACCCCCUGAUUGGCUGGAAGGAAGUGGGACUGGGGGGGGGGGGGUUGAAUGUUGAACACUAGAUUAUAAUUCUUGACUUUCCAAAAAAUUACACUUUUAGAAAACCACGUAAUGAAACGUUAAGACGAGGAGUGUAGUAGUGAUGUGUAGUAUUUUUUUCGUCCAUAAAGGAUUUUCGAGUGAUUUUGAAAUGUAUAUUAAAAGUAAAACCUAGAGAAGACGAUUUUCGCAAAAUUGUAAUUCUGCUGGCUGAGAUUACAAGACUUUUAUAAAUUUGCCCCUGUUCUCUAUUGGUUAAAAACUGAAUUUGGGUGGGUUUUUGUUUUUUUUUUUUUGUUCCUCUGACAGAAAAUUUUCAUCUUAAGCCACAUGUAUUUGUCAGAUGCAGAUUACGGAAGAAUUGUUUCUUUUAUUUCCAUGAAAAGAAACUUCAAUUUUCUUAAUGUUAAGAAUGAGCUUUUCCACAUUUCCCACAGAAAUUGAAAUAUAUUUUUUAAACGUUUCACAGAUAAUUUAAAAUAUAUAGGUUUUUCUAAUUUAGCCAUUGCAAUGGACUUAAAACCUUAUUUACAAGAAAUAUAUGUUGCUUAAUUUAGACUACACAACAGGUAAGUAGCACAGGUGCAGUGUGUAUGAUUUCAUUCAUAAAUUCAUUAUGAAGAAAUGUAUAGCAUACAACACUGUGGAUGUGUUGUGUUUUAUUUGGUUGAUUUUCAGUUGGUUUUUGUUUGAUGUUGCUUGAGACAACCGUCUAUGUAUUUCUGUUUAUUACAAAGCUUGUCAUUCCGUUUUAUUGUAUCUUGAUAAAAGGCGGGUGUGGUUUACAAAGAAAAUCGGUAAACUCACUGAUAAACAAGAUAGCCAUAGAUGGGUUUUGAAAGAUUUUUUAAUAGAAAUUUAUACUUUUUAUGAAUAGUAAUUGAAAUUUUGAAACUUAAGAGUUUGUAUUCUCACAUUAGGUCAAAUAUACAUUGUUAGAAAAUAUUCAGAUGAAAAGAUCCUAGAAAUUUUUUGUAAAUCUUUGUAAAUCUAUAAAUAUAAUUUAUGUUAAUAAGUGGAAUAGCUGAGUUUAUAAAUCAUACUAUUUUAUAUUACCUUCAAAACAGGAAUUAGAACGACACAACCUGUGUUCAUCACUUUUUUUCAGAGCUGUUUAUUUUGAAUCAUCUGUUGAAAAUUUCGUAAGAGAUGCUAAUUAUCAUCUCUAAAAUUUGCUUUAAUGAAAUUGUAUGAAACUAUUUCUAUUUUUAAUGUAAUUUUACCUAAAAUACCAGAGUCAGUAGGUUUUGCUGUUUUAGGUUUUGAGCUUUAAUUUUCAUUCAAAUUAUUAUGUGACUUGUAGAAUUUUGAGGGUGGGGUGGGGAGAGACUUUAUAAAUUCCACCAGGCUGGUUAAAUUUAACCAUACUUUUUUAAUGUUCUGGUUUAUGGGGUUUUUGUUUGUUUUAGGAGGUGAUAGGUGCGGGAUUGUUAGGUUUAAUAAGCCAUCUUAAAAAGAAGUGAAGAGAUUCCUUUAUUUUAAAUAAUGCACUGAAGCUUGAGAACACACUAGCACCUAAAUAAAAUCCACAGCAUUCACAAUAUUUUCCCAUUUACGUGGUGCUAGUAAGAGGAAGAUUUUGGUUUUAGGCUUGUGGGCAUGUAGAUAUGAAUUCCAACAGAUGUAUAUUAAGUAUAUUAACUAUAUUUCUCUGCAAAAAUGGACAGUUAUUUUUAUUUUUUAUUGUAAGGACUAGAAAAGUCUUAAUUACCACAGGAAAACAAUGGUGGGGAAAGGUGUUGAUACUGUAACUCAGCUCUUUUUAAAGCUAUGUUUGCAUGUUUUGGGGCAGAGGGAACUAGAGAAGGCAAGGUAUCAGUCUUCCUGGUAGCAUUGAUCUUCAUUUGUUUGCCCUUCAUUCUGUUUUAUAAAAGUCCAGUUUUACACUUUGUGUUAAUGCUGAUAAGUUGUCUUAGUUGUACAUUUACAAAAUGUAGCCUCAGGUGUUUGUGUGUAGCACAGCUUUUUUCCCAAUCAAAUUAAUAAUUUUUAAUGUUCAUCUAGAGCUAAGGAUGAAAAUUUCGAAAUAGCUUUCAUAUUCUGGAGCCCUUCUUUCAUCAUGCUUUGUGUACUGCAUUUUUGUUUGUUUUUGGUUUUGUGGAGACAUACAUAUUUUUAUCUCUGUAAAGCAAUAUGUAGUAACUGUUCAGAAUGUCACAAAAUAAGUUCAAUCAGAAAUAUUAGUCAGUUGAUUUGGUUUACAAAAAGAAAAAGAAUGCCCAGUGACUAUAUUAGAUAUUUCUUCUACAUGAUACAUAAGCUUUCUCCAGUUAAAAACAGUAUAAACUUACACACGAUUUUGAAUUUUUAUUCUAUGAAAAAUUUGCCUUAUUUUAAAGUACUGGCCUAAAAUUGACUGUCCUUUUUUUUUUCCUUUUGUUAAAUGAAGCUUGAGUAAUCCUCACUGAUUUCUCUUUUAACCCUUUUUUAGAAGAAACAGAUUAUUUGUCUGAUUAUAACUAGAAAACACCAUCUUAGAAAGAAUUGUCAGAGUAUUACUAUACAUGUAGUUUUACCUUGUUUUAAUUCAGCAAACUUAGAAACACUAUGUGCCAGGCAACAAUUUUGGCAUGUAAUUAGAAUUCAGACUAUGACUUUAUGAGAUUUGGUAGCCUCAAAUCCCUUCAGACCAAAGGAAAUCAGUAAUAAACUACCACUUUUCUUACAAAUAAGUGUCAAUAAUGAGAUUAAGCUACUUUUGCAUUUUUUACUAGUGACAGUACUAGAACUUUAAAAUCAUUAUUAAUAUUAACAGAAGUAAAUCAGUUGUAGAGUAUCACAUUACUAAUAUGUGUUUAUGGAUUUUUCUUAUUAUUUGCAUGAACAAAUGACUAGAACCUUCUUAAGAAUACUGCUUUCUGGUAGGGAAAUGAUUUUCUCUUGCGUUUUCUUUUUCUUUGCCUGUAUUAAAGAUACUUCAAAGCAUCUUUCUUUUAGAAGGACAAGUUUAAAGUAUUAGAAUUGAUAUUAAAUAGAUAUAUGAAUUUUAGUCUUAAUAUUUUUUAUCAAAUUGUGAGACAUUAAAUACACUUUUGUUUAAUCCUGUCCCAUUUCACUGAAGAGUCUUUGUACUGGAAAGACUUGUCGUAGGUUCAAAGUGUAAAAAGCUGUGUUUUGUAAUAGAUUUGAAUUUUAGUAUUUCAAGAUUUUUUAACAUAUUUUUUAUCAUAAACAUUUGGUUUAAUAUUUGUCUUCUGUCUGAACCUCUUUGUACUUUAUUAUUUAGUAUUUUAUUCUUUCCCUACUAUUUAAGAUCUUAACAUUUGGCAUGGAAUACAUAUUGGUUUCUUCUAUUCUGUGAUUUUUAAAAUUAAGAUAGCUUCAUUUUCUAUGUACUCACAUAUAGAAAACUGUAUCUUUUGAGGAAGACUAUGUGGAAAUCAUUCUAAUAUUUUUAAAUGUCAUGGUUUCAGGAUUAGUGUUUUUGAGUUAUAUAUGUGUGUUUUUUGUCGUUAAACAAUCAGAUAUUUGCAGAGGAAUAAAGGGUUGUUUUAUUUUAAAUAAAAAUGGAAAACUCGGCAUUGUGGUUCACAUAUAUGUAUUAUAAGCCUUUGGUAAUUAUUUAAUAUUUUUAUACAGUUGAUCAUCACUAAGUUAUUAAGAUUCAGGUAAAACAAAUGAAAACACCCUUACAUACAUUUAGUUACACCACCUCUACUUGGACACAUUAAACAAAACAGUAGCUCAGCAUUCAUCCAUUUAUUACUUAGAAAUACUUUAAUUUGUUUUAAAAGUAAAUUCUAAAUUUUCUUCUGUUAGAUUGUAACAUCUUAAAACAUUUGGAAAUAGCAGUGUUUUUAUUCACUCAGGCUUGACAAAAGACUAAAGUUAAAAAUAGUGGUAAUUUCUGUCAUUAAAACAUAAUUUGGAAGAAAAGUAGUUAAAAAUUUGUCUCUAUCCCUUGAAAACUUCUUAAACUGUGUGGAUUUUAUGAGUUUAAGAAUCAUAGACAAACUAUAUUUCUAUUUUUCUUAUGGAGUCCUCUUGACCAGUCUUCUAACAACUACCUACAUAAACACACACAUUCAUCUACACUGCUUUCAAAAUGAAUGCCCUAAAGAGAAAUGAAAGCAGAAACAUAUUAAUCUGAUUUGUUUGAAGAGGCUUCGGAUGAUAAAGCAUAUCACAGGUGUUUCUAAUCAAGAUAUUUCUAUUUUUAAAACAUUAUUUUCAAGUUAGGGUUUCUUUGAACAUAGGCAAGAUUGGGGUUGUUUUGAAGAUCUUACCUCUGUGUUCAGGGAUCAACUGUGAAACUGCAGGAGGCGGAAAUCUGUUGAGUGUCUUCAUGCUAUAAUACAUGACAUUUUUAUUGCAGGUUUUGACCUUUAGGAGAGAGCCAGUUCUGGAGAACAAGCUAACUUCUUUGAUUGAACAUGUAAUGCAUUGGAACAUGAUAGGAGAUUAAGGUUAUUAACAAUAGAAUGAAGACCAUAGUAUAACAAGCCCCCUACUUAGCCCUCCAGUUCUUACCUUGUAAGUAUUAACUGACAGUCCCCCUACCAUUGCUAUAAAAAAGUUACUCUUUGGCUUUAUGCUUUGGUUUAUUUCUGAAUUUUUUCCUACUAUCCUAGAAUGACAACUUUCUAACUUUUUCUGGCCCCCAACAUGUUGAAGUUUGAUAUUAACUUACUCCGUUUUAGAGCACAAAUAAUACCAUUGCCUUGGGUAAGUUUUCUGUCUUGGAAAGGAUUUUACAACUCAGCCCUCUCAUCUCUAUAUCUGAGAAUCAUAAUUUUAAACCCUUUUCCUUCAAAGGAACUUACAAAUAAGGAGUAGUCUUUUAUUAUCAUCAGUCAGGUUUACUAACAGUUAUUUUAUGGUUUUAGAAAUUGGAAUGUCCUCUCCACCUGAUAGUUUUUUCAUUUAUCUGUUUUUACAUUUCACUAGAUUAUACUUCUGACUUUUUGUGACGUGCUUAAAAUUUAGCUGUUAAACUUCAAGAGGUGAGAAAAACAGGAAGGCAAUCCCUUUUCCUUCCUUUUAUAUAUACACAUGCGUACCUCCUUCUUAGACUAAGAAACAUUUUUACCUUGAUUCAUUUUACUUUUGAGAAAUUUAUAAAUGCUAAGGGAAUAAUUCUAAUAGAUUAGCUAAAAUUAAUAUCAUAUCCCUACAAAAACUGUCGAAAACAAGGUUAUGAUAAAUGCCCAAUAUACUUAUUCGCUUAAAUUUGAGACACUGAAAUCAGUUACCAAAAAGGUUAGUUAUGUAUUCCUUCAGUUAAUUUUACAUUUGUAAACAAAAAACUCAAGUGCUCCUGUUUUUGUUCUUGAUAUUGAGGGAUGGCCCUAUUUAAAUGAAAAGUAAUGCUUCAGAUGCUUCUCUUACAUUACCUCAUACCAUUGCAUUAGUGACCCAGUAAAUAAUGUGUAUGUGUCAAGGAGUGACUUUAUCAUAGAUCAGCCAUUGAACUCAGUAAGUAGUUUUUAGGGUGGGAAUCAAUUAAAUAUUGAAAAUAUAAUAAUAAACCAGGUUGAAGAGUAGUAGCCAAAUGCCAUAGAUCACUUCUUUUUCUCAUUUUUUCUUUUAUAUUUUUGUCUCUGGAAAACUAGAAUGGAAACCUUUGCAAAUCCCCAAAGAAUCCUAUAUAAUCCAGGCUUGGGUUUCAUAAUUGGUCCCUUGGAAGCCAGCUCAGCUUUUUCUUCAACUUAACUCUUAGAAAAAAGAAAUCUUUUCAAUUGGUUUUGCACUCUUACUAUAGACUGGAGGGCAGUACACUUUUCAAAACAAAAUAGAUAGCAUUUAAUUUCCAGUAGAUUUGUAAGUACUGAUGAUGUCACAUUCUUAAGCUCAUUUCAUCUGUUUUGUAAAUGUCUAAGCAAGCAGCCUUUCUUGAAUACUCUCCAGUCUCUUUUAAAACAUAGGUCAUAUGCUGUAUUUCAUAGUUGGAAUGCUUUCUCUUGUCUCUUUUAGGUAAUAUGCCUGGAGUUCCUUUUAGUCUUAGAUACUAAAAUAGUGAUGUUUCCAAUUAAACUAUACCCAGAAAAAUGGGCCUAUAGUGACAGCGGUCAUUGAUUCUUCAUGGUUGUGUGUGUAUUCAUUCUCGCUCAUGUUUAUUUUAAUGUCGUUGUUUCUUUAAGAUAUUUUUUUAACUGUUUACUUGUGGAACAUAGAUGUUCCAGAAGUUAUGGAAUAUUAUUGUUUCAUAUGUUUGAUACUGUAAAAAAAUGAUAGUGUUUUGGAUUCAUUUCUACAAGUUAAGUAGAGAUGAAAUAUUUUUCAAGUUUGGUUUUCAGUUUUAAACUCUUAAACUUUUGUUGCUUAACAUAAAAUAUUCAGAAAUAGUCACACUUCUUCCUGCUUUUUUCCUUUCUUGAGCUAUGUUUUUUAUUUUUAUAUAUUUCUGUUUUGUGAAUUUAAAAUAACUUAGUAUAUCAUUUGGUGCAAAAUAAAAUAGCAUCUUUAGGUUCAUUGUCAGCAGUUAAUAUUAUUGCUUCUGUCUCUUAAUCUGCCACAAAAAAUUUUGAUCUUGACUUCAUAAAUUAGGAAGAUCUCUUGGAGUAGGAAAUGGCAACCCACUUCAGUAAUCUUGCCUGAAGAAAUCCCAUGGACAGAGUAGCCUGGCAGACUACAGUCCAUGGGGUCACAGAAGAGUCGGACACAACUUAGCAACUAAACAACAACAACAAAUAGCACUCAUGAGGAAAUUUUAAUUAUCUUGAAUAAUUUUGCAGUGUGAAUAUUUCUGGGAGAUGUGUGCCAAAAGAGGAAAAAAACAAAUUGCUCUUUUGGCACUUGGGUUAGUAAAGGAUAUUAUAAUCUGAAGCAGAAAAUGUUAUAAGGGUGCUAGGUACUGUCAGCAUUUGGUGGUGAAGAAAGAUUUGCAAACUUAAUCAUAUCAUCAACUGAUAUUCAGUAAACUUCAAAUCUAAGCUUUUAAAGCUGUAUAUAUUGUUUUAUAAUUUGUGAACAGAGAUAGUUCACGCUAUGUUAACAGCCAUUUUCCAGUCAUUGUUCAGAUAACUUUUUGAGAAGCAGACGGUGCUUAACCAAACACCAGGUAUUCCUGUCCUCAAAUUUUGUUUAUUUGACAUAUAUAUGUUUAAGAGAAUGGAUUAAGUUUGAGCUUUAAUGAUUAAGGCAAUGCUGUGUUUUUUAUCUCACUAGAAUUAUAGCUAAAAUUUGAAUUUUAACACCAAAACUAUAGAAAGGGAGUAAAUUCAUUGUUCUCUCACCCUGGACAACUUCUCAGCUCAAGAUGGAUGACUCGAAGAAUAAUAGAAAACUUAUUAUGAACUUACUUUGGAUAUUUUCUUAGGAAAUGAAGGCAAGGCAGAAUUUAAUAGCACAAGCCUUGAUUUAAGUAGGAAAUAAGUAUACAAAUCUAAUGAACUCUAUUAGUAAAUAGCUAAAAUAUUAGUAUAAUAGGGAUUUCAAGUUCUAAGCAAUAAAUAUAGUAGGUAAUAUCCCGAACUGUUCUCUGCAGUUUUGCCAUUUGCCUAUUUGUCUGAAAUUUGAGUCUACAAAAUUACCCCUCUGUAAAAAUAGGAAUAAAUUGAAUACAGAUUGACAUAAUCAUAUAUCCAGUUGUCUGCAAUCACACCUGACUUUUUGCCUAGGCUGUCAGUUGUACUCUUCCUGUUAUUUCUGAUAAGUUUAUUAAAAUUGCUUUCAGUUUUAUUUUCCUUAAUUUGGUUCUACAAGCUGUUUCUUAUGCCUCUGAAAUUUGGUGCCCUAUAGUCAGAACUUAAAAUUGACAGUUUGUCCUCCAAAUCCUUAAUAAGACAGGUUAGUAAAAUGCAGUGAAUUUUUUUAUUAAGUCAGUUUUUAAAUUGAUCUGUAUUCAUCUUAUUUUAGCCCUCAGAAUAUUAGAGUUAGAACCAUAUUAAAUAAACUUCUUCCUUAGUGUUAUAAAUUGUAUUUAUAUCUGUAAUAACUCUGUAAUAAUAGAAAAUAAAAUUCUUGUAAAGGAGAAGGUUUCAGUUUAGCAUAUAACUUAAUUUUGGGCCCUAGAUUUGUCUUCUAAAAAUAGUUUUUGUAUUUUGAGCUAAACGUUCCCACGUCCUUACACUGGUUCUCACAAUAUGAAUUCUAGACCAUUAGUAUCCUGAAUAUUUCACUUUGGCUCUGCCACAUUUUGACAGUAUAUCUUUUAAAAUACUGUAUAUAAAACUGAACCCAGUAUACUCAGUGUGGUUUGAGGUACAAAAUACAGUAUGUGUCUUAUGAAUAAGAUACUUACAGUAAUGUAUCCUGAUUCCACUUUCUCUUUGUCAUCAGUACUGUUGGUUCAUGUUGAAUCAUAGGCCACUGAAUCCCUAAGUCUGCCAGAAGUGUGUUUCAGAUCCUACUGUAAAUUUGAAUUCAGCAGGUUUUUGUUGAAUACUUGUUCACUUCUCGAUGUGCUCAUAAAAGUUUAAGAUUUUACAGUCUUAACACCAGGUUCAUGAAGUAGCCAUUAAUAGGUCCAUUUUACAGAGAGGAAACUGAGGCUUUGUGUACUGAAAUAUUUUAUCCAAGAAAGUGACUCAUAAGGGACAGAGCCAGAAUUCCAUCUUGGGUCUUCUGGCUCCAAAUUCACCGUUCUAUGUAGUUGCUGCCUCAGUAAAUUACUUCUACUGCUCAUUUUGUUGAUAAAGUUAGAAAUGCAGAAACUGACCAGUGACUUCUACUGCAGGAUGAUUCAAAGUUUAGGAGAUAUGUUUAGAACUUUUUAAUAUCUUUGUUAAAUACAGUAAUGCUUUAUGUAAACUAUAUGAAUUGAAUUUAGAGCAGUGUCAGAUAGAAAGUAAAUGUACCUAAGCAAAAAUAUUAAUGAAAACAAAAUUAGAGUUGCAUAUCACUUACAAAGAGGUGAGGGGAAAAAAUCAUUAACUUAUGUUAAAGUGCAUAAUUUUUGUUCUUUUGAAAUUCUUGUUGUCUGUUAUCUGAUAUUAAAAGAAAGCUAAUUUAAGUUAUGUAAAUAUUCCCAUUUACUCAGAUUCAUUUUCAGAUUGACUUAAGCGAGACAUUUAUUUUACCUCACCUUUCAAAAUGACUUUUUUUCUUAGAAGAUUGUAAGAAUGAAAAGUUGAUACCUCAAAAGCCAAUAGAGAUACUUGAGAGCCUGCAGGCCAAAAUACAAACAACCAGACGUGGAGCUGAGAGCUAUUGUGUAAAGAUUAAAGGACAAGAACUGAAUGGUUCUGUUUCCUGAAUUUAUUUGGAGAUUUCUUUUGGUUCUAAGUCUAGUCAUCAGAGUUCCUUCCAUAACUGCUUGGUGAAGAUGUAGGCACCAUGAUGUCUCCAGUGGGCUGGGACAUAGGAGUGGAGGAACGGCAGGUUUGUGCCAGCAAGCAUUGUCACGUAGCUCGUCUUAAUUUGCAAGGAGGAUAAGUAUGAAAUAAUGAAACCAAUUGUCUGCUCAGCACAGUAUUCAAUCCUGGGAAUAAUUGUCUGGGUUCAAAACUUACUAUGAAUGGAUAGUUCAAUUCUUCAGAGAGGCUGAAGUAAGAAUCCACUAGAGAAGAUAGACUUAAGUUGUCCUUAAAAGUAGGGAUAAAUGGAAGGGGGCUUAAUAAGUAUUUUAGCCUCCAGUAGUAGGUUUGGUGAAGAUUCAAAGAUCAGGUAGGAAUAUUCUUAGCGGGGAAAAGAACUGGAAAAUAAUUUAUUACAAGUGUCAGUUCUUCCAGGAGCCUUCACGUAGUGGGAGAGGAUAGUCACUACUCAAAUGAUGAGUAAUUGUGUUUUUUCCACUUUCUACUCACCUGGUGACCACAGUAGCAUCAGGCUUGAUCGGUCUUUGAUCUACUCAAAUAGUUCGUACGCUUCUCUGUUUAUAGGGACCCCUUUCCCCUAAGUGUAUAAGCACCAUACUUUGAACACACUAACAAAAUUAUUAAUAACCUCUUACUAUAAUGAUACCUAGCUCCUGUUAAAAUUUCUGAUUAUUUCAAAAAGAUCCACAUAAGGCAUUUGGCUGUCACGGCUCUUAAGAGAGAUGUUUUAACUUGAAUUGUGGAGUGUUUUCAUUGGCGAAAAAUAGGAAACACUGGAGAGGGCCUGGUUGUACAUUGAUACUAGGCAGAAAAGUACACACUCCACUUGGGAAACCAGAGAUAUAUUCUUGAAUGUAUGAGUUUUAAGAAGUUGUAUUAGAUAACUAAAGACAGGAAGUCAGGCUGGAAUGCAGUUGUAGAUACCUUGUACCUAGACCUGAUUUUAAGGUAUGAAAUUAUGAAUGGCAAAGAAAUUGAUGAACUAUAAUCUCAAAGAAAGCCAAUUCGUUUUAUUGACCAACUGAAUAGAUUGACAGAGGAUAAAAAAAGAAUAGUAAUGGGUAAGUAUUCAUAAUUUGAAUGUAAAAGAGUAAUGAAAGAAA